rnacentral:misc_RNA from 1 species
AAGAGUUGCAAAACUCCCUACAAACCAUCGCGAACGUUACCCAGACGUCGUUGCUUCGGCGGGCUCGCCCGCCGGGGGGACGCUACCAGACUCUUGCAGUUCUUCGGCCUCUCUGAGUAUGAUUUUUUAAAUAAGUCA